rnacentral:rRNA from 1 species
GUUAAGCGACUAAGCGUACACGGUGGAUGCCCUGGCAGUCAGAGGCGAUGAAGGACGUGCUAAUCUGCGAUAAGCGUCGGUGAGGUGAUAUGAACCGUUAUAACCGGCGAUUUCCGAAUGGGGAAACCCAGUGUGUUUCGACACACUAUCAUUAACUGAAUCCAUAGGUUAAUGAGGCGAACCGGGGGAACUGAAACAUCUAAGUACCCCGAGGAAAAGAAAUCAACCGAGAUUCCCCCAGUAGCGGCGAGCGAACGGGGAGGAGCCCAGAGCCUGAAUCAGUGUGUGUGUUAGUGGAAGCGUCUGGAAAGGCGCGCGAUACAGGGUGACAGCCCCGUACACAAAAAUGCACAUACUGUGAGCUCGAUGAGUAGGGCGGGACACGUGGUAUCCUGUCUGAAUAUGGGGGGACCAUCCUCCAAGGCUAAAUACUCCUGACUGACCGAUAGUGAACCAGUACCGUGAGGGAAAGGCGAAAAGAACCCCGGCGAGGGGAGUGAAAAAGAACCUGAAACCGUGUACGUACAAGCAGUGGGAGCCUCUUAAUGGGGUGACUGCGUACCUUUUGUAUAAUGGGUCAGCGACUUAUAUUCUGUAGCAAGGUUAACCGAAUAGGGGAGCCGAAGGGAAACCGAGUCUUAACUGGGCGUUAAGUUGCAGGGUAUAGACCCGAAACCCGGUGAUCUAGCCAUGGGCAGGUUGAAGGUUGGGUAACACUAACUGGAGGACCGAACCGACUAAUGUUGAAAAAUUAGCGGAUGACUUGUGGCUGGGGGUGAAAGGCCAAUCAAACCGGGAGAUAGCUGGUUCUCCCCGAAAGCUAUUUAGGUAGCGCCUCGUGAAUUCAUCUCCGGGGGUAGAGCACUGUUUCGGCAAGGGGGUCAUCCCGACUUACCAACCCGAUGCAAACUGCGAAUACCGGAGAAUGUUAUCACGGGAGACACACGGCGGGUGCUAACGUCCGUCGUGAAGAGGGAAACAACCCAGACCGCCAGCUAAGGUCCCAAAGUCAUGGUUAAGUGGGAAACGAUGUGGGAAGGCCCAGACAGCCAGGAUGUUGGCUUAGAAGCAGCCAUCAUUUAAAGAAAGCGUAAUAGCUCACUGGUCGAGUCGGCCUGCGCGGAAGAUGUAACGGGGCUAAACCAUGCACCGAAGCUGCGGCAGCGACGCUUAUGCGUUGUUGGGUAGGGGAGCGUUCUGUAAGCCUGUGAAGGUGGCCUGUGAGGGUUGCUGGAGGUAUCAGAAGUGCGAAUGCUGACAUAAGUAACGAUAAAGCGGGUGAAAAGCCCGCUCGCCGGAAGACCAAGGGUUCCUGUCCAACGUUAAUCGGGGCAGGGUGAGUCGACCCCUAAGGCGAGGCCGAAAGGCGUAGUCGAUGGGAAACAGGUUAAUAUUCCUGUACUUGGUGUUACUGCGAAGGGGGGACGGAGAAGGCUAUGUUGGCCGGGCGACGGUUGUCCCGGUUUAAGCGUGUAGGCUGGUUUUCCAGGCAAAUCCGGAAAAUCAAGGCUGAGGCGUGAUGACGAGGCACUACGGUGCUGAAGCGACAAAUGCCCUGCUUCCAGGAAAAGCCUCUAAGCAUCAGGUAACAUUAAAUCGUACCCCAAACCGACACAGGUGGUCAGGUAGAGAAUACCAAGGCGCUUGAGAGAACUCGGGUGAAGGAACUAGGCAAAAUGGUGCCGUAACUUCGGGAGAAGGCACGCUGAUAUGUAGGUGAAGCGACUUGCUCGUGGAGCUGAAAUCAGUCGAAGAUACCAGCUGGCUGCAACUGUUUAUUAAAAACACAGCACUGUGCAAACACGAAAGUGGACGUAUACGGUGUGACGCCUGCCCGGUGCCGGAAGGUUAAUUGAUGGGGUUAGCGGUAACGCGAAGCUCUUGAUCGAAGCCCCGGUAAACGGCGGCCGUAACUAUAACGGUCCUAAGGUAGCGAAAUUCCUUGUCGGGUAAGUUCCGACCUGCACGAAUGGCGUAAUGAUGGCCAGGCUGUCUCCACCCGAGACUCAGUGAAAUUGAACUCGCUGUGAAGAUGCAGUGUACCCGCGGCAAGACGGAAAGACCCCGUGAACCUUUACUAUAGCUUGACACUGAACAUUGAGCCUUGAUGUGUAGGAUAGGUGGGAGGCUUUGAAGUGUGGACGCCAGUCUGCAUGGAGCCGACCUUGAAAUACCACCCUUUAAUGUUUGAUGUUCUAACGUGGGCCCCUUACCGGGGUUGCGGACAGUGUCUGGUGGGUAGUUUGACUGGGGCGGUCUCCUCCUAAAGAGUAACGGAGGAGCACGAAGGUUGGCUAAUCCUGGUCGGACAUCAGGAGGUUAGUGCAAUGGCAUAAGCCAGCUUGACUGCGAGCGUGACGGCGCGAGCAGGUGCGAAAGCAGGUCAUAGUGAUCCGGUGGUUCUGAAUGGAAGGGCCAUCGCUCAACGGAUAAAAGGUACUCCGGGGAUAACAGGCUGAUACCGCCCAAGAGUUCAUAUCGACGGCGGUGUUUGGCACCUCGAUGUCGGCUCAUCACAUCCUGGGGCUGAAGUAGGUCCCAAGGGUAUGGCUGUUCGCCAUUUAAAGUGGUACGCGAGCUGGGUUUAGAACGUCGUGAGACAGUUCGGUCCCUAUCUGCCGUGGGCGCUGGAGAACUGAGGGGGGCUGCUCCUAGUACGAGAGGACCGGAGUGGACGCAUCACUGGUGUUCGGGUUGUCAUGCCAAUGGCACUGCCCGGUAGCUAAAUGCGGAAGAGAUAAGUGCUGAAAGCAUCUAAGCACGAAACUUGCCCCGAGAUGAGUUCUCCCUGACUCCUUGAGAGUCCUGAAGGAACGUUGAAGACGACGACGUUGAUAGGCCGGGUGUGUAAGCGCAGCGAUGCGUUGAGCUAACCGGUACUAAUGAACCGUGAGGCUUAACCUU